GACAACCUUCUGUGAGACAAGGCAGCCUCUGUCUUCAGCUUGGAGAUCCGCCCCUGGAGCCAGCUCAGCCCCUUCCCCUCCACUCCCCAGUUUCCCUCUCUCAACCCCUCUGCUUGAACUCCCCCCAUCCCAGCCAGUGGAACGCAGAACUCUUACCAAUUUUUGGAGGAGCAGGAAGUGCUUGUGGGGAGAUCAUGGAAGAGGGGGUUCCUGCUGUGACAAGGUGGGCUGCCCUCUGUGGAAUCAAGCAUGCUCCUUCCCUUGGCCCUUUUAAUAAAUUCUCCCUGGUAAGAGGAAGAACUAAGGGAAGAGUGGGGAAAACAUCCUGGCCAAGGAGAGGAAAAGAUAAAUCUCUUCCUGGGUCCUCAUCUCUGUUUCAACAACUCCAAUUCAGCAACAUGAUUUGCAAUGCCUAGGCAAUGUGGUUAAGUGACUUGCCCAGAGUCAUAC